CUUCAGAAACAGCAGGAGUUCUUAAAGAGACAGAGGCCCAAUUUUACCAUGACGAUUCUGCCAUUUUCAGACUUUUCAUCAGUUAAAUUCACAAACAUCCCAGAAUAAUCAAACCGACUCUUCACUGCGACAGGCGUUUUGCAGGAAUAAACGUAAAUCCUGAGAGAAUCGGACCGGACCUGCACAAAGUAAAACACAGAAACUCCCGAGUGGCAUCCUCCCCGCAGACACUCAUUUCAUCUUCAUCUCUGGAGGCAAAGCCUCUUCAUCGCCCUCCAGCUGUCCUAAACACUGCUUCUCAUCACCUCACACACACACAUGGCUCAUUAGCAAUCACUUCAACAAUACCUUUUCCCUGGAUGCCGUCGUGAAGCCUCUGAAGGAGAUUCUCCGUUCAUCCGUCCGGCUCUGCCGUCUCUCCUCCCUCCUGCUCGGUUUGAGUCUCUACAGACGUGUUUUCAUGGAACGCUCACCGGGAACCAGACAGGAAUAGUAAAGAACAUUUAGUCAGACAACCAGGAACAAAGAGUUCUCACAGCAACUUUCUGCUCCAAAAUGUUCAGACGGCGUACCGCCAGGAGGCGGCCUGGUUACCUGUUUUGUCUUUUGAACCUGGAAAAUAUUUACUGAUGACAUAAUCUACCAGACUUAUAAAACCAGAGAUUCCUGCAGCAGUUCUGCUUUCCCAAACAAGUUUAAUGCACAUUGCAAAGCAGCUAGCUGCAUAAAGAAUUUAUACAUUAUAUAAAUAAAAGUUCAAGGUUUGA